GUAUUAUAUUUUUUGACCACUGAAGGUCUUAAAAAGACAUUCUGAUAGACUUGUAUGUGUGUGUAAAAAUGACAUAGACACAGAUUUAGUGAAAAAUCCGGCCUACAAUGAGUUCACAGGUGAGAUGAAAAGGCAGAGUGCACAAUGCCCCGAGAGGCCAGCAGCAUCUAAAGGAUUUCAAUAAUGAUCCUUCCGCAGGUUCACCUACGGAAA
rnacentral:misc_RNA from 1 species